rnacentral:RNase_P_RNA from 1 species
CCAGUCGGCCGGACGGCCGCUCCCGCUCGCGGGGGAGGAAAGUCCGGGCUCCACGUGCGGUAAGAGCGCACCGCGGACCCGGCAACGGGGACGGCAUGGCAAGCCCCACCGGGAGCAAAACCGAAUAGGGACGAUGCUCGCCCGCAAGGGAGGAGGGGCCGGUUUCCAGGUCCAGUCGUCCGGGUUGGUUGCUCGAGGCGCGCAGCGAUGCGCGUCCCAGAGGAAUGGCCGUCACGUCGGGGGAGCGAUCCUCCGGCCAUCCAGAACCCGGCUUACAGGCCGGCUGGCAUC